CUCUUUAUGUAAAGUAUAUUUAAAGCUUUAUUUACUCAUUAAAGGAGCUACAUCUAUAUUUCUAUGCAAUUAACUAUUAUACUUCUUUUGAGUUGUUAUUUUUAUUUGGAAGAUUUUCAAAACGUGAAAAGAUUGAUCCGAACCUUGAAUCAGAUUGUAUUGGGUUGAUUUGUAUUCAAAAAAUAAGUAUUCUAGCUUGGAAUAGCUAG
rnacentral:lncRNA from 1 species